GCCCAGACUCCUACGGGAGGCAGCAGUGGGGAAUAUUGGACAAUGGGGGGAACCCUGAUCCAGCCAUGCCGCGUGUGUGAAGAAGGCCUUAUGGUUGUAAAGCACUUUAAGCGAGGAGGAGGCUACUCUAGUUAAUACCUAGGGAUAGUGGACGUUACUCGCAGAAUAAGCACCGGCUAACUCUGUGCCAGCAGCCGCGGUAAUACAGAGGGUGCGAGCGUUAAUCGGAUUUACUGGGCGUAAAGCGUGCGUAGGCGGCUUAUUAAGUCG
rnacentral:rRNA from 1 species